CUUUCCAACCCCCUUGCCCCUUGGAUGAUAAAACUAAGGCCCACGGGAUCCUCGGGAGAGCUUCAGUGCCUGCCCGCUUGCAUCUCUCAGGAUCACCCCAUCCUACAGGACCCCCAAAGACUUCUGAGAAAUUCUUGGCCUGCAAAAGAAAGGAAUUCCCUUCUCUGGGAAAGCUGCCUCUACUCCUAUAUGAUUAAAAUGGCCAUGUGCAGCAACAGCGCUAAUAGAAGCCCCACAGGUUUUCAAGCUUCUGACCCCCUGAAUUUGAUUAGCCUUCUCCCUCCUGGUUACACUGACUAUGGAAACCUCACAAGAUUCUCUUACUGAACCCUCUGGUAUUUGUUAUCCACGCUUCAGUAUAUAGUUCUUUGUGUUUAGUUAUUCUUGUUGGCUUGGAAUUUGACCUAUCGUAUUUGCUCCUCUUCAUCACAUAUGCUGCCAGUUUUCUCAAAUGAUUUUAAAAUUAGAAGCCUUGCACAUUAUGGGAGAGGCUUUCUGUAGUAUCAGCAUGGCUCAACUCACCCCUUCCUGAGAACUGCCUCACCCACCUUCAGGAAGGGGACAUGGCAGCCAUUUGUCAUCUGGACCUGCCCCUCCCUGACCAGAGCUGACUGGGUCCAGGGUGAACAGCUGUCUGAAAACCAGUCAGUUUUCUCCCCUAAAUGUAGAAUUGGGCUUAAAAUAAAUGAGUCCAUCCGCUGGUUGCUGGACUCAAAGAUGGGCCAGCUCAGGAGCUGUGGGUGG